rnacentral:rRNA from 1 species
AUAAAAGAAAGUAAAUAAGGGCGCAUGGCGGAUGCCUUGGCUCUCGGAGGCGAUGAAGGACGUGAUAAGCUGCGAUAAGCUUCGGGUAGGUGCAAAUGACCUUUGAUCCGAAGAUUUCCGAAUGGGACAACCCGGCAUUCUGAAGGAAUGUCAUCCAAC